CAGGGAAUAGUUUAAAAAGAAUUUCA
rnacentral:tRNA from 1 species